ensembl:snRNA U2 U2 spliceosomal RNA
UUCUCUUCCUGGCCUUCUGGCUAAGUCAAGUGCAGAGUCUCUUCUCAUUGGCUUCAUAGCUGAUGCGUCCUCCUCCAAGGACAAUAUGUUAAAUGGAUUUUUGGAGCAGGGAGAUAAAUCAGGAGCUUGCUCUGUCCACUCUAUCACCAGCCUGGAACUGCAGCACCUCCAGGAACAGUGCCUCAUU